rnacentral:lncRNA from 1 species
CUCAAAAAAUUCUACUUUAUCUUGGAGAAAAUAACUACAUCAACUACGAAUUUUGGUAGUGCUCUCCCCUUUUCUUAUAUUCUUAGAUGAGCAAGCUUCAAAAGGAAGCUAUCGUCGAACCGGCUUAGGUUUAUGAGGAUGUUGUUGAUGAAACUCCUGUACCUUUUGUGGCGCAUUGGCGAGAUUUUCAGCUAGCUCCCA